UGGGUGUCCAGUUGCACAUAUAUAUAUAUAUAUAUAUAUAUAUUUUAGUUUAACGUGGGUGUCCGGGUCAGCUUGCGCGCACCUCAACUAAUCCCACGGGUCCUGAAGUUAACGACCAUGUAAGUCUCCAGUGGCCAUCAUAUGAGCAAUCACAGGACUCGAACCUGAAAUCAUAAAGGGAGCAAGUAUAUCUUUAAUAUUUGUGAUGGGUGCUAAAUUUAAUCUUCUAUAUAUUCGAAGGUACUCUUUAUGAAGAAAAAACUGAAAAGCAUGAACAAGUUCUAAUUCGGCACGAUUGCAUGUCAUGGAUGCUGCCAUCCCAUCAAUAUCAAUUCAGAAAUUCCUCGCCAUGUCUUCUUUGAUAGCUUUAUUAGAAUAGUGGCAAAAUGAAUGUACUCGUCGUCAUCGAAUUUGUUAAUAUGAUAUUUCAAUAUUAGUCAAAAUAUUUAAAUUGCUGAUUAUCAUGUAUGAGACUCGACAAUAUCGAUAUGCUGACGUGUCUGGUAUUGAUAUUGUUUUAUUACAACGAUCGUUAGCCAUUUUAAUUAUUAACUUUCAAGAAUAAAUAAAAAUAACUUAUAGAAAUUUAUAAAAUAUAAAAUAAGCUCUGGAAAGGGAACUUUUAAAUAUUGGUUGUUUAAACAAUAUAUUUAUAUUGUAAAUAAUAUUGUCUAAAUAAAUAUUAAAAUAAAUACGUACAAUCAAUUUAUAUGUACAAUUGUUUAAUUACGCACCGUCCUCAAGUAUAGUAAAAUUAAAAUUAUGAACUAUCCUGGAUUAUUGAUACUUGUAAAUAAAUAAUCUCAAAUUAUAAUAUGUUAACUUUUUAUUAGUUUAUUUUUUUUUUAAUCAGUUGCCUUAUCUCUCUGUGUACUGAAAAUGGAGGACAAGAACACGAUGAUAGUUUAUUUGAGUUUCAUGUAGGAUUGUAUACCCUCCAGUGACGUUUAUUUACGGUCAUUAAUACAUUUAUUUGUAUAUAGAUACAACUUACAAGAGAAUUGAACAUAAAUUUUAAAAGGAAAAAAGUGUCUUGAAUCUAGCUAGGGCAUUAAUAAAUCCAAUUUAACUUGAAAGAUAAUUUCAACAUUGUAUGUGGAUGCAACUUAGUACAAAUUUGAACAUGAACUUUUAAAUUAAUUAAUAAAUUUUCUGUAUAUUAAAAGUUUCUUGAUUCUAGCAUCAUAUGAAAGAAUAACCUGGAUUUGUUGGAUUCCCAGAGGGUUUAAUUACUUGCAAGGUACUUCCUUAUACUUUCAAUUACAGCUGCAAGCCUUUUAGGAUACUUGCUGAUAAAUCUGAAGUGGAGCACCAAGUUUUUUCUUUCCAACAAAACAGCUUGUCUUUGUGGAGUACCUAUGUGUGUUUUCUUCUCAUGCAAUCGCAUGUUUACACUAACAAAAUGCUGUUCAACAGGUACCUCACUAGCUCUUUCAAUUCCAUGCACACGAUUUAGUUUAAUCACAAAUGUCAUUGAUGGAAUAGUCGAGUUCUAGUAUUACUAAUUGUCUGCAGGCAUAUUGCUGUCUAAGACGUGAUAUUCGAACAAAUAUUAUGCCCUUCAACGGAUUUAUUUCUUGAUUUCUCAAAAUCUUUCACAAUAAUAUGAGCAAAUUAAUGGAAAGAAAAAUCCAGCAACGGCAAACAAGUCCUCUAAUUAAUAUGUAUUUUAUUUAUUAGGCGAAAAGCCUGAAAGAGGCACAUGGAUGGGAGAGAGAAAUAAUGGAGAUAUCACCAUGAAUAUACAUAUAACUAUUUCAUGGGGUUCUUCACAUGCCUUCCUACUUGUUUUUCUUAUCCUCAUUUAGCUGUUGGUUUACAGCUGGAUCCGGAUGCCUGUAAUAACCGAUAAAAAACUUCAAUUAGACAACGCACGCGAUUAGCAAUUUCAUGAUGAAUAUGUUGAGACCAUUUUGUAUAAUAUGUUUAUGACAACCUUAUAAUGCAUUAAGGUUACAAGUGGAUAAUUAUGAACCCGUUUGGUAUAACGAUCAGUGCAGUGAAGAUGCAAAAUGCAUUAAUUUGGUGUUUUUUUUUUUAACACAACCAUAUCUUCAACCUUAUUAUCAAACACCUACAUGAUAUAAGGAAAGUUUUGCGUACCUUCUUUUUAGGCUCCCGGGGCUUCUGCUCAACCUUUUUAGGGGCUGGUUUUGAUGCCGGAGUUUUGGGUGCACUGCUGCUGGGUUUAGCUGCAGGCUCUUUCUUGACAGGCUCGAUUGGCUUAGUGCCAACAGGUUUCAUUGCUUUGAGUGAUGCCAUUCUUCUUCGGUACCCUGUCGAAUUAAGAGGUUGCACAAACACUUGCUGGCCUGAGUAAUACGUCCUUCAGAUAGUCCUAUUUAUAGCCAGGUUGCUUAAUUAUAACAUGGAAUCCGAAGAAGUAAUCACAUCAGAUGAAUGGAUAGAUAGGUGUGGCUGUUUGAAGGAAUAGAAUAACUUGAAAUGGAGGCCUUUUGAGGGAUACUGCAUCGGAUGCUUGGGCAUAUUUUAACGACAUUAUUGGAUGCUUAUUCUAAUAUAGAGGCAGUUAUUUUUCAGGGAAUAAGCUUGAAUGCAAGUGCAUUCAAUGAGCUACAGAUAAAUCCGAUGUUUAAUUAUCUUGAUUAAUAGUCAGAUCAUGUCACCCUUGUAGUUACAAUUAGACUAAUUGCGAUUAAUUUGAAAGGAUUUUCUAUAAUGACAAGGACCACAUGUAUUCAAUGCAUACUUCCUAGUUAUGAUAAAACAAGAGCUUUUAUCUACAAAAUAGCAUUCUGCAGAAUUUGCAGAUAUCUGUUUCUGUUUCGGCCACUGAUCUACGCAAUCUCAUGGAACUGAUGCCAAAUACUUGACUGUAGUUCACAUUGAAAAGAUGUAGGAUUUCAAAAUAAGAGUAAAUUUACAUCACAAAACUC
rnacentral:lncRNA from 1 species